rnacentral:tRNA from 1 species
GUAUCCAUAGCUCAGUUGGAUAGAGCGCAGGUUUGCGGAACCUGAGGUCGGAGGUUCGAGUCCUCCUGGAUACACCU